AUCAUAUGCAAAUAACAAAUGGGAAACCUGUAGAUGACCAACCAUAAAGUCUCUUAACAGACCCUCUCUUACAGCUUUCUCAAUCAUCCCAUUAAAGGCUUCCAUUACAAUAACAAACAGCAAUGAAGUCAACAGAACUCCUUGCCUCAAAUCUCUGCUACUUUGGAAGUAACCUUCAAGGUUUCCAUUAACCAAAACUGAGAACGAAAUCGUAGAGAUACAGAAUUAAAUCUACUUACACCACUUAUCUCCAAAACUACAUCACCUGAGCAUAUACAUAAGAAACUCCAAGUUGAUCUGAUCAUAUGCCUUCAAAUAUCAAGUUUACAUAACAUCUCUAGAACCUCCUGACAUAUUCUUAAGUCAAUGAUUCGUUCACUAUAAGAACUGAAUCCAAAAUUUGGUGCCCUUUCACAAAAGCAUUCUGAAACUUAGACAUCAUUUUUCCUAGCACCUCAUUUCAUCUAUUUGCCAGAACUUUAGCAAUUAUCUUGUGCACCUCACUGACUAAGCUAAUAACGAUAAUUCUUAAUGCCAGACACUCCCGGUUUCUUAGGAAUUAUCACUAAAAAUGUGGCAUUAAAACUUCUCAGAAACCUGCCACAUUCGAAAAAAUAAGUGAUAACAUCCAUAAUGUCCAAUCACGCCACCUUCAAACAAACCAUAUAGAAUGAGAUCGAGAAGUCCGGUACAGGGGCCUUCACAUCAUUCUUACUAAACACCACUUCCCUAAUUUCAUCCUCCUCAAAUUAUCUCUCUAUCCAACUAGCAUCCUCCUUGAUGAUAGUGGAAAAGUCCAAACCCUCCAACUCUAGCCUCCACUCAAACUACUCCCGAUAGAGAUUUUGAUAGAAACUUAUAAGUUGAGUCCCAAUAUCCUAUGGGUCUUCGUAGGUAACCUCAUCUACCUUCAGCAAUGUAAUAGAAUUGUUGCACCGAUUGGAAUUAGCAACCCUAUGAAAGAACUUGGUGCAUUUGUCACCGUCCUUCAACCACGUGAACCUAGAUUUCGGACAUCAAGCAAUCUUUUUCAUCUCCACCAAUCCGUCCAACUCUCCUCGUAACACUCCAUGCCUCUAUCUCCUUUCCAUCCAACCCUCGACUAUCCUCCUACCUAUCCAACUCUUUAAUGUCUGAAAGACACUAAUUUUUACGACAGUUUAUGUCUCCUAUCAUUUCCUCAUUAUACUUAAAUUCUUAAUUGGCAUUCAUAUUCAGAAGAAAUUAUCAAAUUUAUUCUCAAGAUAAAAUGUUAUCCCGGAUGUUUCAUAUCUAUUAUUACUUGAUCACAUGCUUGCAAGUUGACUUCAAUUUCUACAUGGUUUAAAAUUAUUUUCUUUUCCCCUAUAGUACAACUGUUUGUGCAAAAUCAAUUAACAGCAGCAAAAGACCAUUUUGGGGACUGGUGCGUCAAUAGAUAGGUAACAGUUAACAAUUAAAAGGCUCCUUGCCUGUUUAUGAAUUUGUUUAUUUAUGUGAUUUUGUGUUUUCUUUUUGUUAAUAUUAAAGAUUGUAUUUCGUGGCUCGUAUAGUGCCUUAAAGAUUUAAUUUCGAAGAUUUUAGCAUUGACUUUAUUGAUCACCUUUGGUUUAAUAGAAAAUCUUUUGGGAAAAUUAGGCUCAUUACCCCCAAAAAAUAAGAAAUUAAAAUAAUACUAUUAAAACUAAUUUAAAUACUUAAUCCCGUAAUAAAUACACCCAAAUCCCCUCAAAACCCCAAAACAACCCAAUGCUCAUUACUGAUUAUCGACAAAAAAUCCCAAAAUCACCACAAAAUCCACAACUGAAGUUUCUUCGUAUGAAAAAUAUAGGGCAAAAAAAAAAACCAUAGCCAACCUGUAAAUCAUUCCAUGGCGACUUUGGUAUUUCGAAUUGAUAAUUAUUUAUCCCUCUAUAGACUAUUUCUUGAAGCUUGUCGCUUUAGUUUGCAUCAUUAACGGUAAGAGCUAUUAAUCAAGUCCGUCCUUUUCUUUUUCUGUUGAAAUAUUUGCAUUCGAUUCGAGUUUUGAUGCAUUUCUCCUUUUUUCUUUUUUUCCCCCUUUUUUUUGACAUUCUAAG
rnacentral:lncRNA from 1 species